AGAGUUUGAUCCUGGCUCAGAGCGAACGCUGGCGGCAGGCCUAAUACAUGCAAGUCGAGCGGUCCCUUCGGGGGCAGCGGCGGACGGGUGAGUAACGCGUGGGAACGUGCCCUUUGGUACGGAACAACUGAGGGAAACUUCAGCUAAUACCGUAUGUGCCCUUCGGGGGAAAGAUUUAUCGCCAUUGGAGCGGCCCGCGUUAGAUUAGCUAGUUGGUAGGGUAAUGGCCUACCAAGGCGACGAUCUAUAGCUGGUCUGAGAGGAUGAUCAGCCACACUGGGACUGAGACACGGCCCAGACUCCUACGGGAGGCAGCAGUAGGGAAUCUUGCGCAAUGGGCGAAAGCCUGACGCAGCCAUGCCGCGUGAAUGAUGAAGGUCUUAGGAUUGUAAAAUUCUUUCACCGGGGACGAUAAUGACGGUACCCGGAGAAGAAGCCCCGGCUAACUUCGUGCCAGCCGCCGCGGUAAUAC
rnacentral:rRNA from 1 species